rnacentral:lncRNA from 1 species
GUAGCUACAUACAAAUCAAAGCUUCAGAGUUCCAAAGGAGAACUCAACACGAUGCUAUGGAGCAGUCCUGUCUUCUUCUUUCUACUGUUUUUAUUCGGGGCGUGGCAUUUCUUUGCUAAGAAGAAAGAGUCUCUCACAGCUUGGGGACCUGACGAUCCUUUCACAUCUUCCUCUUCUUCUGCUUCUUUCUCUGAGCCAUCUAGGAGAAACAAUGAUGAUCUCAUGGAUCUUAGGAGAAGAUAUGUUUCUCCAUCUCGGUACCCUCCUGGAGCUGCAGCUGGUACUUAUAGGUCGGUUGCCUCUAAUGACCCGACCACGAGAGGUUCGGUUGAUAGUACAAACUAUAGAGCAACAGGGCAGGGGAUGAAGUAUCGUGGUGUGACAGGGCUUGAUUCUUCAGGUGGUGGUGGGUUUGGUAAUAGAAGAGAGAGUUUGUUUGGUAAUAAUAACAAAGCUUUAGACAACGAAAGUUAAGGGCCUUUUUUAACGUUUUGCCACUUUUUUUUUGUUACCGGUUAACGCUUGAAGUUUUUUUUGUAUUUUGUAACACUCCGGCGAGAAAAAAUAAAUGUUUUACCGGUAGCUUUUGUUUCUCCGGACACUUCUUGUUUAGUCAAACUCUUGUAGAUUUGAAUCGUUAUGUAAUUUUUUCUUGUGGUCAAGAUCAGGAUCAGACUGAAAAUGAUACAUUUUUUAAUAUAUAUAUUAUAGUGUUUCAAGAUCCAGAUGUCUUACAAGACCUCAAGACAGUAAGUCCUUUAGGCAAUGUGACACUGAUUCUUAACAAGACAUAUUUUCAGGAGUUGAUGUUGUUUCAACUCCUGAAAAUGUGUCGGAAAUCUUUUUUUCUACCCGCCAACGAUGACACUCAGGAAAGCUCAGCUCGGGAACUCAACUCUAUCUAUCACUCAUCGCGAUGCACCAUAACAGAGAGACUGACACAGGGAGACAACGCAGAGGAGUUUAAUCCGCGUAGGUUUGAAAUUUGGGCACACCAAGAAAGAAUCAGCUCAGCUUGUGCCGUUUGGGUUAGGGCCUAGUACUUGUGUCGGACAGAAUCUUGGAGUGUCUGAAAACCGAGAAGGUUCUGGCUACGAUCUUUGAGGCAUUACAGUUUCAGGUUGUCUCGGUUUAAUAUACUUGGGUUAGGUACUUUCGAGUUUCGAUUUCGUUACCUCGGUUUAUUAUAUAGGUUCUUCCCUUUAUUGAAAGGGUAAAAUAGUAAAAGCACGUAACUAUUAAGCGCAUCAAUCAAACAUCUUCUAUCUUCCUCCCAAACCUACCCACAAACUCCAAGGGCCGCAAGACUCUGCAGCUCUCCUCGAACGUCUCCUCUCCUUACAAAAUGGAAUUAGGGAAAUCGAAAAGGCACGGCUAGUGAACAAAUGUCGAGCAAACUUUUCUAAUUCCAGAAAGUAACACAAAGCUUCUCUUGCUUCUUCCUCUUUUCUUUUUUUCAUAAAUGCAUUACUAUUUUUAACCCCUCCACGUUCUCAGAUUCGAGUCUCACGCGUCUUUCUUCUUUUCCUUAGCUUUUAGUCCCACAAGAAUCUCAUAUCUGUUUUCAUCCUAAGAGAUGUGGUCGGCGGUGGGUGCUUUGAGGCGUACGGCCGCCAGUAAAAGUUGUCCGAUAAGGUCGUCAUGGCUCGGCGGUGGUUACAGAUGUCUCACAGUGGAACCAACGGAGGAGAUAACUGUAACGGAAGCGAAGAAGCUAAUGAGGUUAGUGAACGUUGAUGAGAUGAAGAAGAAGCUCGGUUGUAUGGGGAAUGAUGAAACUGUCUCUUACACUAAACUCAUUGAGGCAUCUCAAGGUUUUGGUAUCGCUAGAUCUCUCCACGAAGCUCAUGCCUUCGCUCGUAUCCUCGAUGAUGCUGGUGUCAUUUUGAUUUUCCGUGAUAAAGUCUAUCUUCAUCCAGAUAAGGUCUGCUGCAAUCUCAUGUUUUGUCUUGGAAAAAAAAAACUCAUUGUGUUUGUCUGAAAUCGAUCUUUGUCUUGUGGGUUUUGUUAUAGGUGGUGGAGUUGAUUAGAAAGGCAGUGCCUUUAGGUUUGAAUCCAGAGGAUGAUCCAGCUAAAGUCGAGUUCGAUAAGCUUAGGAGAAUGAAGGAAGAGAUUGAUGUGUUGGCACAUAAGCAAGUGAGGAAGAUUCUGUGGUGUGGUCUUGGCUACUCUGUGGUUCAGAUCGGACUCUUCUUCAGGCUAACCUUCUGGGAGUUUUCAUGGGAUGUGAUGGAGCCCAUUACCUUCUUCACUACAGCCACUGGCAUUAUUGUUGGUUACGGUUAUUUCUUGAUGACUUCCAGGGACCCAACUUAUCAAGAUUUCAUGAAGAGGUUGUUUCUUUCUAGGCAGAGGAAGUUGCUCAAGAGUCGCAAGUUUGAUGUUGAGAGGUUUAAGGAACUUGAGAAGAAGUCGAAGAUGACGUCUUGCUCUUCGUAUCAUUCGUGCCACGCGAACGCAGCUAUUCGGAAGUGUGUUGGAGUUGAUCUUGAUUUAGAGGAUUCUUUGCAUAGUCGCAGCGACUGAUUCAUUCGGUUUCUGGUUUUCUAACCAUUAUUCACUUUUGGUUUUAUAUGCUAUAACCAAUGUCUCUCGAGGCUUCUUCAUGUUUGAUUCCUUGUUGUUUACAAAAAAAGAAUCCAAUGGGUGUUUAGUUUUGCACUAGUCAAUGGAGAUUGAGAAUUUUUAUUUGAUAAUCUUGAGCUCUAAAAUCAGUAAUAUGGAAUUUGUUGAUUAUUGAAUCUACCGAACAAUAACGUUUCUUAGUUUAAGUUUGUUUUCCGUUGUUAAUCCUUGAUUAAAGUUUCCGAGGGUCCAACGUUUCUUAGUUUAAGUUUCUUAUUUUAUGGAUGGUUUGGAAGUGACGUUACUAGAAGUGCAUCACGUGGGUCGUGUUAGGUACAUAUUAGCAACUGAUCUCACAGCUUGGGGACCUGACGAUCCUUUCACAUCUUCCUCUUCUUCUGCUUCUUUCUCUGAGCCAUCUAGGAGAAACAACGAUGAUCUCAUGGAUCUUAGGAGAAGAUAUGUUUCUCCAUCUCGGUACCCUCCUGGAGCUGCAGCUGGUACUACAGGUCAGUUGCCUCUAAUGACCCGACCACGAGAGGUUCGGUUGAU